GGAGGGGGGGCAGAAGAGUUGUGGAGGCUGGCCCGGUGUACUGAUUUGGAGAGCACGGGACGAAAUUGUUUCGGCGGAGGAAGAUGAGGCUGUUUGCCCCUGUGGGACACCUCCCCUGCAUUGUCAGUAGGUUUCCUUAGGCCUAGAAGUAUUUGGUGACAGGUACUGGGUGAUGGAAGUGGUUAAAAAAGGAUCAUGGUAAAACUUUACUUCUAGCUUUCUGUGUUUUCUGGGACUCCUGCUUACAAAUACAAACUUGAAUUAUCAGAAAAGAAAAUAACCGAUAAAAAAUUCAUACACUCGCCUGUAAAGUGAAGGGAACAGACCCUCACUUAGCCCCCUGCUUUAGCAGCCAUGACAGGCUACAGAAAAGACACUUAGGCCUCUGACACAAGGAAACUCCAGACCCCCUUCCCCCCAACCUCCUAGGUACUUAGUUCCUGGGAACUGUUUGGGCACAAAAGAAAGUCCAGGGGAGAUCAAAACCUUCUCUGUAGUCUCCAGGAUACAGUUUUGAAAACUAUUGGUAUCUGUGUACAACAGUUCACAUGCAAGUAACAAGACAAAGUCAUAGAAACCACAGAAUGUUCCCUCUCAGCACUGACCAAUGAAAAUAAUUGGUACACAGGUAUUUCAUGCCAAAAUGACUUUGAGAUAUUCUCCUGAUUGUUCCCAAAUGUCAACCAAUCAGAAACCAACCUGUAUCUACCUACUGACGUAAUCCUGUAACUUGUGUCAUUAAAACCUAGCAGUAGACAGGGAACUUUACCUCCUCUGGAGGCUGCUGCAUCAGCUUGCUAGAUGGUGUCCCUCCUGAGGUAGUAUAGAAAAAUCAAUAAACCUUUGUGUUGGUGA